UUCCCAAAAGCCUAGACAUCCCUCUGUUGUG
rnacentral:piRNA from 1 species